GACGAACGCUGGCGGCGUGCUUAACACAUGCAAGUCGAACGGAAAGGCCCUGCUUUUGUGGGGUGCUCGAGUGGCGAACGGGUGAGUAACACGUGAGUAACCUGCCCUUGACUUUGGGAUAACUUCAGGAAACUGGGGCUAAUACCGGAUAGGAGCUCCUGCUGCAUGGUGGGGGUUGGAAAGUUUCGGCGGUUUGGGAUGGACUCGCGGCUUAUCAGCUUGUUGGUGGGGUAGUGGCUGACCAAGGCUUUGACGGGUAGCCGGCCUGGGAGGGUGACCGGCCACAUUGGGACUGAGGUACGGCCCAGAAGCCUACGGGAGGCAGCAGUGGGGAAUAUUGCACAAUGGGCGGAAGCCUGAUGCAGCAACGCCGCGUGCGGGAUGACGGCCUUCGGGUUGUAAACCGCUUUCGCCUGUGACGAAGCGUGAGUGACGGUAAUGGGUAAAGAAGCACCGGCUAACUACGUG
rnacentral:rRNA from 1 species